GUAGCGAAGUUCCUGAUGUCACACUGCCAAGAAAAGCUUCUAGUGAGAAAGUAACUGCCCGUACCGCAAACCGACACAGGUAGUUGAGGAGAGAAUCCUAAGGUGUGCGAGAGAACUCUCGUUAAGGAACUCGGCAAAAUGACCCCGUAACUUCGGGAGAAGGGGUGCUGACCGCAAGGUCAGCCGCAGUGAAUAGGCCCAAGCGACUGUUUAUCAAAAACACAGGUCUCUGCAAAAUCGAAAGAUGACGUAUAGGGGCUGACGCCUGCCCGGUGCUGGAAGGUUAAGAGGAGAGGUUAGCGCAAGCGGAGCUUUGAAUUGAAGCCCCAGUAAACGGCGGCCGUAACAAUAACGGUCCUAAGGUAGCGAAAUUCCUUGUCGGGUAAGUUCCGACCCGCACGAAAGGCGUAACGAUUUGGGCACUGUCUCAACGAGAGACUCGGUGAAAUUAUAGUACCAGUGAAGAUGCUGGUUACCCGCGACAGGACGGAAAGACCCCAUGGAGCUUUACUGCAGUUUGAUAUUGCGUGUUUGUAUCACAUGUACAGGAUAGGUAGGAGCCGAAGAUACCGGGACGCCAGUCUCGGAGGAGGCAACGGUGGGAUACUACCCUUGUGAUAUGACCACUCUAACCCGCUGCUCUUAGCGAGCAGGGAGACAGUGUCAGACGGGCAGUUUGACUGGGGCGGUCGCCUCCAAAAAUGUAACGGAGGCGCCCAAAGGUUCCCUCAGAAUGGUUGGAAAUCAUUCGUAGAGUGUAAAGGCAGAAGGGAGCUUGACUGCGAGACCUACAAGUCGAGCAGGGACGAAAGUCGGGCUUAGUGAUCCGGUGGUUCCGCAUGGAAGGGCCAUCGCUCAACGGAUAAAAGCUACCCUGGGGAUAACAGGCUUAUCUCCCCCAAGAGUUCACAUCGACGGGGAGGUUUGGCACCUCGAUGUCGGCUCAUCGCAUCCUGGGGCUGUAGUCGGUCCCAAGGGUUGGGCUGUUCGCCCAUUAAAGCGGUACGCGAGCUGGGUUCAGAACGUCGUGAGACAGUUCGGUCCCUAUCCGUCGCGGGCGUUGGAAAUUUGAGAGGAGCUGUCCUUAGUACGAGAGGACCGGGAUGGACACACCGCUGGUGUACCAGUUGUUCUGCCAAGAGCAUCGCUGGGUAGCUAUGUGUGGACGGGAUAAACGCUGAAAGCAUCUAAGCGUGAAGCCCCCCUCAAGAUGAGAUUUCCCAUCACUUUAAGCGAGUAAGACCCCUGAGAGAUGAUCAGGUAGAUAGGUUGGGAGUGGAAGUACAGCGAUGUAUGGAGCGGACCAAUACUAAUCGGUCGAGGACUUAACCU
rnacentral:rRNA from 1 species